rnacentral:rRNA from 1 species
GUGGGGAAUAUUGGACAAUGGGCGAAAGCCUGAUCCAGCCAUGCCGCGUGUGUGAAGAAGGUCUUCGGAUUGUAAAGCACUUUAAGUUGGGAGGAAGGGCAGUAAGUUAAUACCUUGCUGUUUUGACGUUACCGACAGAAUAAGCACCGGCUAACUUCGUGCCAGCAGCCGCGGUAAUACGAAGGGUGCAAGCGUUAAUCGGAAUUACUGGGCGUAAAGCGCGCGUAGGUGGUUUUGUAAGUUGGAGGUGAAAUCCCCGGGCUCAACCUGGGAACUGCAUCCAAAACUGAAUGACUAGAGUACGGUAGAGGGUAGUGGAAUUUCCUGUGUAGCGGUGAAAUGCGUAGAUAUAGGAAGGAACACCAGUGGCGAAGGCGACUACCUGGACUGAUACUGACACUGAGGUGCGAAAGCGUGGGGAGCAAACAGGAUUAGAUACCCGGGUAGUCC